rnacentral:rRNA from 1 species
GACGAACGCUGGCGGCGUGGAUUAGGCAUGCAAGUCGCGCGACGGUAUUCCUUCGGGAAUAUACGGAGCGGCGAACGGGUGAGUAACACGUGAGGAACCUGUCCCUACAUUCCGGAUAAUUGGCCGAAAGGCCUUGUAAUACGGGGGAGGGUCUUUGAGGGGCAUCCCUUAAAGAAGGAACGAGCAAUCGGUGCAGGGAGGGUCUCGCGUCCUAUCAGCUUGUUGGUGGGGUAAAGGCCUACCAAGGCGACGACGGGUAGCUGGUCUGAGAGGAUGGUCAGCCACAUUGGAACUGAGACACUGUCCAGACUCCUACGGGAGGCAGCAGUGGGGAAUUUUGCGCAAUGGGCUAACGCCUGACGCAGCAACGCCGCGUGGAGGAUGAAGGUCCUUGGAUUGUAAACU